CAUGUUCUUACCUCGAGGUAGAUGUCCAAAGCUCUGUAGACUCCAUCAAAGCAGUCUCGAGCUGAAUCCGGGAGGCUCACAGCCACCUCGAGAAACUUGGACACCUUCAAGCUCUGGUCAGGAGAGAUCUCCCCCAGGUUGACAUCAUAGACACCUCCAUCGUGCCCUGACACCAAGAGAUCAUCCAGUGUGGCCUGGUCGAGCACGAGUCCCAUCAGCCUCUCCAGCUUCUGCCUGCAUUCCUUGCUGAGGCCCAGGCCUGAGACCACCCUCAGCACCCAGAACAGUCCUCUGCAGGAGAAGGCUGUUCUUCCCAUCAGCGCCACUCCAUGGACUGCAGUGUCGGCAAGACCACCGUACUCUUCCUUACAGUGACCAAGGUUCCCGCAUCCGACGCCAGAGCAUGGCCUCUGGACCACCGUCUUGAGGUAAUGCAAGAGAAACCUGGUCAGGACGAGGUUCUUGUUGUCAGUACCAUAAGCUCCGAGGGUCUUCAUGAUCUUUUCUAUGGUGCUGGGUGCCAAGAUGGUGAGGUCAUCGAACCACCAUUCCCUGUUGGAACAAGGCUUCAUCGGCUCGGGGGUCUUGGUAGAUGAGGAGCACCUGAAACCAGAGGUAUCAGGCGAGGAGGAAGAAGAUGAAGAUGACGGAAAUGGCGUUGCCGACAGGAGUGGCAUCAUCUCUGAAUUGGCCGCUAUCUUUGCCAGGAGGGAUGAGACGAGCUUCUGGAGUAGGCCACAGGAGUCGGCAGUUGGGAAGAAGGGCUCACAGCUCUUCAAAGCUGUUAGGAUGUCAUUCCAUGUCCAGUGGAACACUCCAUUCAAGAAGGUCUCCGUCUGGCUCAAAAGAUUGCAGGAGGAGACAUCUUCAGUCAUCUCAAGAAGAAUGGCGGAGCAGUGGAGGAGGCAGAUGUUGGAUGGCGUCAUGGCGAUGCUCCCAUUGUUGUAGCAGAAUCUGGACACCAGCUCAAAACCACAUGCUCCUCCUGGAAACUCCAUUAUCCCAACUCCUGAGCUCUUUGGCUGGCUUCUCUGCCUCUCUUGGCUCACCAUCUCCUUCAGCUUGCCCGAGAAGGAACAGAGGACUCUCUGCAAUAGAAGACUUAGAUUGCCGGAAGUGAAGGAGAGAAAGCUGGAUGACACCACAUGAUGUGUGGGUUGAGGAAUGAGUACCUGAUGCAGGAGGAAGGUGUGCUGCUCAUUGACAUGAACCUUGAGAUCACAGAGUUCCUGCAUUGCUGGUGGGAGCCCGAAUUGAAUGAUGCAAAGGAAGAGCUGGGGAUAGAUAUAAGGGACCAAAAGGCUGUCAAUUCUUGGGAGGAAGAGAUUUUGAUGCUUGCUGACAUUACAGUGGGUUGAUGGCUAUGGCUGUCGCGUAUGUGUAUAUAGAUGUAGAAAGAGGUGGUUUAGUCACCUGAGUGACUCAGUAAGCCAAACCACUUCUUCAGUGUGAGGGUUGUGUGUUUGAUUAUGCUGCUGCUGCUGUUGUAUUUGUGGUAGAAAAUUGUAUGGAUUUUGUCUGGUGCUGGUGACGGGCACUGGAAGUCAAGCAUGCUUCUGCAAUCGUAGUCC